CUACACAAAACAAACACCUAACUCCUACAUUGACACAAGAGGGACUUUACCUCCUCUAAACACCAACGUAUCAAGUCAACAAUGCAGCAAGAGUGAUUCCACACUCUAGUUUCGGCCAAAGGCCCCUAGUUUUGGGUUUUGCCUCAAAGGAGAGAGGACUUGUGUUCCAUGUCUUUCAAGACUUACAAAAUAUCAUCAAUAAUUAGUGAAUGAAACCCUAAAAGGUUCUAUUUAUAGCCACUGCAAAAAUAGAAGUUAAAAUGUCCAAAAUGCC
rnacentral:lncRNA from 1 species